GACAGAGGUCUCGAGCGUUAGGCGGAAUCACUGGGCUUAAAGCGUGUGUAGGCGGACUUGUAAGUACCUUGUGAAAUCCCACGGCUCAACCGUGGAACUGCUCGGUAUACUGCUUGUCUUGGGCCAGCUAGGGUUACCGGAACAAACGGUGGAGCGGUGAAAUGCGUAGAGAUCGGAAAGAACACCAACGGCGAAAGCACUCUGCUGGCCGACACUGACACUGAGAGACGAAAGCUAGGGGAGCGAAUGGG
rnacentral:rRNA from 1 species